rnacentral:rRNA from 1 species
CUUCGGGGUGNNUNAAUGGCGAACGGGUGAGUAACACGUGGGCAAUCUGCCCUUCACUCUGGGACAAGCCCUGGAAACGGGGUCUAAUACCGGAUACGACACACGACCGCAUGGUCUGUGUGUGGAAAGCUCCGGCGGUGAAGGAUGAGCCCGCGGCCUAUCAGCUUGUUGGUGGGGUGAUGGCCUACCAAGGCGACGACGGGUAGCCGGCCUGAGAGGGCGACCGGCCACACUGGGACUGAGACACGGCCCAGACUCCUACGGGAGGCAGCAGUGGGGAAUAUUGCACAAUGGGCGAAAGCCUGAUGCAGCGACGCCGCGUGAGGGAUGACGGCCUUCGGGUUGUAAACCUCUUUCAGCAGGGAAGAAGCGAAAGUGACGGUACCUGCAGAAGAAGCGCCGGCUAACUACGUGCCAGCAGCCGCGGUAAUACGUAGGGCGCAAGCGUUGUCCGGAAUUAUUGGGCGUAAAGAGCUCGUAGGCGGCUUGUCACGUCGGAUGUGAAAGCCCGGGGCUUAACCCCGGGUCUGCAUUCGAUACGGGCAGGCUAGAGUUCGGUAGGGGAGAUCGGAAUUCCUGGUGUAGCGGUGAAAUGCGCAGAUAUCAAGAUGAACACCGGUGGCGAAAGCGGAUCUCUGGGCCGAUACUGACNCUGAGNANCCAAACGGUGGGGNCGAA